rnacentral:rRNA from 1 species
CCUACGGGGGGCAGCAGUGGGGAAUAUUGGACAAUGGGGGCAACCCUGAUCCAGCCAUGCCGCGUGUGUGAAGAAGGCCCUCGGGUUGUAAAGCACUUUCAGUGAGGAAGAACGCCUGGUGGUUAAUACCCAUCAGGAAAGACAUCACUCACAGAAGAAGCACCGGCUAACUCCGUGCCAGCAGCCGCGGUAAUACGGAGGGUGCGAGCGUUAAUCGGAAUUACUGGGCGUAAAGCGCGCGUAGGUGGCUUGAUAAGCCGGUUGUGAAAGCCCCGGGCUCAACCUGGGAACGGCAUCCGGAACUGUCAAGCUAGAGUGCAGGAGAGGAAGGUAGAAUUCCCGUUGUAGCGGUGAAAUGCGUAGAGAUCGGGAGGAAUACCAGUGGCGAAGGCGGCCUUCUGGACUGACACUGACACUGAGGUGCGAAAGCGUGGGUAGCAAACAGGAUUAGAUACCCUAGUAGUC